GGCAGUUUAGUUUAAUGGUAAAACACUUGAUGCGUAAUGACAGAGAUGUGAGUUCGAGUCUCAUGGCUGGCCA
rnacentral:tRNA from 1 species